UACGAAGGGGGCUAGCGUUGCUCGGAAUCACUGGGCGUAAAGCGCACGUAGGCGGCUUACUAAGUCAGGGGUGAAAUCCUGGAGCUCAACUCCAGAACUGCCUUUGAUACUGAAGAUCUUGAGUUCGGGAGAGGUGAGUGGAACUGCGAGUGUAGAGGUGAAAUUCGUAGAUAUUCGCAAGAACACCAGUGGCGAAGGCGGCUCACUGGCCCGAUACUGACGCUGAUGCACGAAAGCGUGGGGAGCAAACAGG
rnacentral:rRNA from 1 species